rnacentral:rRNA from 1 species
GGACCCGCACAAGCAGUGGAGCAUGUGGUUUAAUUCGACGCAACGCGCAAAACCUUACCUGGAUUUGACAUCCCGGGCUCACCUCAGAGAUGAGGUUUUUCUCUUCGGAGACCCGGUGACAGGUGCUGCAUGGCUGUCGUCAGCUCGUGUCGUGAGAUGUUGGUUAAGUCCCGCAACGAGCGCAACCCUUGUCCCUAGUUGCCAGCAUUGAGUUGGGCACUCUAGGGAGACUGCCGGUGACAAACCGGAGGAAGGUGGGGACGACGUCAAGUCCUCAUGGCCCUUAUGGGUAGGGCUUCACACGUCAUACAAUGGUUGGUACAGAGGGUUGCGAACCCGCGAGGGG